ACACCAAACCCAGCAAGUCACUCACACAAGCCCCGAAAAUAAACCAUCAUCUUUAGUCUUCUUAGAAGAAACUCUUGAAGAUAAGGUGUGGAAGGCUUUCAUGACUACUCACAAAGGAGAUUGAGUGAAUGCAGGAAUAUUCUUUAGAAUGAAAACAACCCCUAUCCAAAUCUUUAACAAAGAUCAGAUUGAGCUGGAACUUGGAAGCUAGUUUCUAUUAGGCAGAUGGACUGAGAAUGAAUAACAGCAUUUCCCAUUAGAGGAGGGAAAGAGAAAAAUCAAGGUGAAUAAAGGAAAAAGAAUCCAUUUUGCCUAAGGUUACUAUGAGUCAGGAAAAAAAAAAAAGAGGAUUAAGCUCAAGGUGAUAUGACUACUAAUCUUUGGCUUUAAUAACUGAACUGCAGCAGGUCCCACCUGGGCUCAGGGUUCUUGCUUGUCAUUUAGACAAGUAAUUGAAUAAAAGCUAAAGCAAAGAAUCAAUCCUCAUUCUUGUUACAUUUAGGGGGAUUUCUUAUCAUGGAUCUAAAUGUGACAUAAAACCUUAAUGAAUCUCAUCAGCAGUAGGAUAUGUUCUACAUGCUGA